UCUUGACAUCCUCUGACAACCCUAGAGAUAGGGCUUUACCUUCGGGGACAGAGUGACAGGUGGUGCAUGGUUGUCGUCAGCUCGUGUCGUGAGAUGUUGGGUUAAGUCCCGCAACGAGCGCAACCCUUGAUCUUAGUUGCCAGCAUUUAGUUGGGCACUCUAAGGUGACUGCCGGUGACAAACCGGAGGAAGGUGGGGAUGACGUCAAAUCAUCAUGCCCCUUAUGACCUGGGCUACACACGUGCUACAAUGGACAGAACAAAGGGCUGCGAGACCGCAAGGUUUAGCCAAUCCCAUAAAUCUGUUCUCAGUUCGGAUCGCAGUCUGCAACUCGACUGCGUGAAGCUGGAAUCGCUAGUAAUCGCGGAUCAGCAUGCCGCGGUGAAUACGUUCCCGGGCCUUGUACACACCGCCCGUCACACCACGAGAGUUU
rnacentral:rRNA from 1 species